rnacentral:lncRNA from 1 species
GGCUUCCUCUGGGACUAGGAUCAGGAUGUGGACACCCCCAACCUGGACCGUCUGGCCGGGGAGGGAUCAGGCCAGUACCUCAUGCCCCCUUUGUCACGAUGACCUCCCGUCCCCUUCACCGCCAUCCCGGUCUUAGCAAAUGGCAUACCAGGAGAUUAUAUCCCGCACCUGGCUCAGAGGGUCCUACUCCACGGAGCCUCACUUAUUGCUAGCACAGCAGUCUGAGAUCAAACUGCAAGGAGGUAGCAAGGCUGGGAGAGGGGCGACUGCCAUUGCCUAGGCUUCAGUAGGUAAACAAAGUGGCUGGGAAGCUUGAACUGGGUGGAGCCCACUGCAGCUUAAGGAGGCCUGCCUGCCUCUGUAGACUCCACCUCUGGGGGCAGGGCAUUGCCAAACAAAAGGCAGCAGAAUCCUCUGCAGACUUAAAUGUCCCUGUCUGACAGCUUUGAAGAGAGUAGUGGUUCUCCCAGCAUGCAGCUGGAGAUCUGAGAAUGGACAGACUGCCUCCUCAAGUGGGUCCCUGACCCCCAGUAGCCUAAUUGGGAGGCACCCCCCAGUAGGGGCAGACUGACACCUCACAUGGCUGGGUACUCUCUGAGACAAAACUUCCAGAGGAACAAUCAGAUGGCAACAUUUGCAGCUCACCAAUAUCCACUGUUCUGCAGCCUCUGCUGCUGAUACCCAGGCUAACAGGGUCUGGAGUGGACCUCCAGCAAACUCCAACAGACCUGCAGCUGAGGGUCCUGACUGUUAGAAGGAAAACUAACAAAGAGAAGGGACAUCCACACAAAAACCCCAUCUGUACGUCACCAUCAUCAAAGACCAAAGGUAGAUAAAACCGCAAAGAUGGGGAAAAAACAGAGCAGAAAAAAUGGGAAACUCUAAAAAUCAGAGAGCCUCUCCUCCUCCAAAGGAAUGCAGCUCCUCACCAGCAAUGGAACAAAGCUGGACAGAGAAAGACUUUGAUGAGUUGAGAGAAGAAGGCUUCAGACGAUCAAACUACUCCGAGCUAAAGGAGGAAGUUCAAACCCAUGGCAAAGAAGUUAAAAUCCUUGAAAAAAGGUUAGAUGAAUGGCUAACUAUAUGGAUGAAUGGCUAACUAGAAUAACCAAUGCAGAGAAGUCCUUAAAGGACCUGAUGGAGCUGAAAACCGAGGCAAGAGAACUACAUGACAAAUGCACAAGCCUCGGUAGCUGAUUCGAUCAACUGUAAGUAAGGAUAUCAGUGAUGGAAGAUGAAAUGAAUGAAAUGAAGCGAGAAGUUUAGAGAAAAAAGAAUAUAAAGAAAUGAACAAAGCGUCCAAGAAAUAUGGGACUAUGUGAAAAGACAAAAUCUACGUCUGACUGGUGUACCUGAAAGUGAUGGGGAGAAUGGAACCAAGUUGGAAAACACUCUGCAGGAUAUUAUGCAGGAGAACUUCCCCAAUCUAGCAAGGCAGGCCAACAUUCAAAUUCGGGAAAUACAGAGAAUGCCACAAAGAUACUCCUUGAGAAGAGCAACUCCAAGAUACAUAAUUGUCAGAUUCACCAAAGUUGAAAUGAAGGAAAAAGUGUUAAGGGCAGCCAGAGAGAAAGGUCGGGUUACCUACAAAGGGAAGCCCAUCAGAUUAACAAUUGACCUCUCAGCAGAAGCUCUACAAGCCAGAAGAGAGUGGGGGCCAAUUUUCAACAUUCUUAAAGAGAAGAAUUUUCAACCCAGAAUCUCAUAUCCAGCCAAACUAAGCUUCAUAAGUGAAGGAGAAAUAAAAUCCUUUACAGACAAGCAAAUGCUGAGAGAUUUUGUCACCACCAGGCCUGCCCUACAAGAGCUCCUGAAGGAAGCACUAAACAUGGAAAGGAAAAACCGUUACCAGCCACUGCAAAAACAUGCCAAAUUGUAAAGACCAUCGAGGCUAGGAAGAAACUGCAUCAACUAACGAGAGAAAUAACCAGCUAACAUCAUAAUGACAUGAUCAAAUUCACACAUAACAAUAUUAACCUUAAGUGUCAAUGGGCUGAAUUCUCUGAUUAAAAGACACAGACUGGCAAAUUGGAUAAAGAGUCAAGACCCAUCACUGUCCUGUAUUCAGGAAACCCAUCUCAUGUGCAGAGACACACAUAGGCUCAAAAUAAAGGGAUGGAGGAAGAUCUACCAAGCAAAUGGAAAACAAAAAAAGGCAGGCGUUGCAAUCCUAGUCUCUGAUAAAACAGACUUUAAACCAACAAAGAUCAAAAGAGACCAAGAAGGCCAUUACAUAAUGGUAAAGGGAUCAAUUCAACAAGAAGAGCUAACUAUCCUAAAUAUAUCUGCACCCAAUACAGGAGCACCCAGAUUCAUAAAGCAAGUCCUUAGAGAUCUACAAAGAGACUUAGACUCCCACACGAUAAUAAUGGGAGAUUUUAACACCUCACUGUCAACAUUAAACAGAUUAACGAGACAGAAAGUUAACAAGGAUAUCCAGGGAUUGAACUCAGCUCUUCACCAAGAGGACCUAAUAGACAUCUACAGAACUCUCCACCCCAAACCAACAGAAAAUAUAUUCUUCUCAGCACCACACCGCACUUAUUCCAAAAUUGACCACAUAUUUGGAAGUGAAGCACUCCUCAGCAAAUGUAAAACAACAGAAAUUAUAACAAACUCUCAGACCACAGUGCAAUCAAACUAGAACUCAGGAUUAAGAAAUUCACUCAAAACCACUCAACUACAUGGAAACUGAACAAACUGCUCCUGAAGGACUACUGGGUAAAUAACGAAAUGAAGGCAGAAAUAAAGAUGUUCUUUGAAACCAAUGAGAACAAAGACACAACAUACCAGAAUCUCUGGGACACAUUCAAAGCAGUGUGUAGAGGGAAAUUUAUAGCACUAAAUGACCACAAGAGAAACAGGAGAGAUCUAAAGUUGACACCCUAACAUCACAAUUAAAAGAACUAGAGAAGCAAGAGCAAACACAUUCAAAAGCUAGCAG